UUUGGGUAAAAAGUACAGACAAUUGUACCAAAUCUGUUAAAAGAUGUUGUACUAUCUGAUAUUUCUGAAUUUUAGGGUAGAACAUUCCCUUUUUAUGCUUUUUUAUGCACUCUAUAUAAGGAAUAGACCAUCAGUCACUCACACACAUAUCCAUUAGCCUAUUCACUCUAAGAAUUAUCUGAAAGCACAUAGAAAAACUGUUGCAUUUCCUUUCUCUGGCAUUCUUAGCAGAAAAACAAAAAUAUAGUUCCUAGAAAUCCCUAAGAAGUUCUGUUUUCUCUUCAUUCAUUUCUGAUCCUUCUCGAAGAUGAUUCUGGAUUGAAGUUUGAAACUUGUUCUGGGUUUAUUCAUUGCUGCUGUACCUGUUUGGUUGUUGCUAUUUUUGAGCUUGCUGAAUCUAUUUCUCCAGUUUUUUGCCUUUAUUUGGCAUUUACUAUCUCUCAUAGAAGGUAUGUGAAAUUCUUUCCUUGUAACCUUUAUGAAUCUGGAAAUAUAGACUAAACAUGUUGAUAUUGUGCUUAUGGCCUAUUUCAUGUGUUCUAUGAUGUUUGUAGGAUUAAAUUUAUCCAUCUUUGUUCGAUGUCUGAAAUCUGAUUCAUUUUGCCUAAUUCUAAGUUGAAUACACAUGCUAUGUUAACUCAUUAACUAGGCUAAUGUGUUACUUUGUCCACCUAUCUUGAUUUAAGGUUUUUAUUAAAUCAAAUGAGCUCAUAUAAGUUCUUCUUUGGAUGCAUUUGUUGACUUAAGGAUAAAAAUUGAAUUCUUGCUUACUCUUUGCAAAUUUCUGAAGUAAGGCUAAGGGUGUCUGUGGUGCUUUCACUUUUUUUAUUGAAUGAACUUUAAGCUUUUAAUUUCUUUGUUGUGACAAGUAACACAUACGUCCUGAUUAAGUUUAAGUUGACUGAAUUCUUGCUGUGUUGUUCUUUUUGGUAUUAAUGUUGAUUUACACUUGAAGGAAGGGUAAAGAAUGGCCAAGGGAUAAAUCUGACCACCAGUUGGUCAGAUCCGUCUCUGUGGAGUGUCUGGUUCACAAAUUCAUGAGUGGCAGAGCUUGAACAUGUAAUUCUACUGUUUGUUCAUCGCCAGUGCUGAAAGCAAAAGUAUAAGAGUUAGUUUGAAGUCUUAUUCUGAUCAAGUUUGUAAAUAAUGAUUGUAAUUGAUAGAAUGGUUCAUUAACGUAUUUCAAAUUAGUCCAAACUGAUUUCUUAAUGUUCUAAUUAGUUUUAUUUAGCAUAAUGUUGGUUCAAACUGAUAAUGAUAUGAGUUAGUUAGACAUUCUAUUUUUUUUUCUUAAAAUUUUGGCCGAUUAAAAUGAACUGGGACAGGCACUCCAAUAGGCCUAGCUUUCGUUCCUUUAUGGUGAAUGGAAUUUUGGACUCCAGGCAGCUGGGCAUGGGUACUAAGCCCAAUAACUUGGCCCCAAUUAUGAACUUAUUUUUAAAAUUAGUAUAAUUCCAAUUCUGAUUUAGGGUGUUAGAAAUCAUGCUAGCAACGUUACGUCAAACAUAAAUACAAUAAUAUUCUUAUAUGAUUCUCAUUCUCGUGUGAACCGUAUUGGACUUGGACAAUGUGUGCCUUGCGAUUUUUUCAUGCUGAAACACAAUCAUAACGUGCCCAGUCCAUUUAGAGUUGCGACUGGGCCAGAUUUGUAAACAG
rnacentral:lncRNA from 1 species